CAUCUUUGCACCGUAUUUGGUUCCCGUUCAGCGGGAUUAAAAGGGAAGUCCGGUGCAAUUCCGGCGCUAUCCCCGUAGCUGUAAGGUUGGUGAAUGGCAAUCAGCGGUUGCCGUCACUUUUGCCGGAUCUUCAUACCACUGUCACGCCUCCGGCGGGAUGGGAAGGUGUCCGGUUCAAACCAAGCCAGAAGACCUGCCAUAUACAUUUGAUUUUA
rnacentral:ncRNA from 2 species